UGGUGAGCAGUCCUAGGCCCCUAAUCCUACAUCAUAGACCAACACCAACUGCAUCGAGCCAGUCGAACAAGAGGCUAAGGAUCGCUCCUCAAGUUCCUUCCCAGGCUCGAUAGUAGGAUGUGGUAAAAUUUGUCAGCACUGUGACAAAUAUCAUGGGGACUGACCGUAUUACCGUCUCAACAACACCUACUGUAUAUGUGGGAGUACCCAGUAU
rnacentral:lncRNA from 1 species